rnacentral:rRNA from 1 species
UACGAAGGGGGCUAGCGUUGCUCGGAAUUACUGGGCGUAAAGGGCGCGUAGGCGGCACUGUUAGUCAGGCGUGAAAUUCCUGGGCUCAACCUGGGGACUGCGCUUGAUACGGCAGAGCUAGAGGAUGGAAGAGGCUCGCGGAAUUCCCAGUGUAGAGGUGAAAUGCGUAGAUAUCUGGAGGAACACCGGUGGCGAAGGCGGCAUCCUGGACCGGUAUUGACGCUGAGGCGCGGAAAGCCAGGGGAGCAAAGCGGG